UAUUCUUUUCGUAUCUUUUCUUGGCACCAACAACAUGUAGAAGAUAAAUUUAGUAGUAUAAAUUGAUGCUCUAGCUCUGAUAAAUAUAUUGAUGAAAGCCCCAUCUAUCAAAGGAUCCCCAAUUAGUAAUUUCCCCCAUUUAACUUAGUAAUUUCUCAACAUUUAAGGUAUAUAGGGGUAUUAAGAGGUAAAACUUGUAACUAGACCCAAAAUAUAACUUAUGGAUAGUCAAUCUCAAAAACAGCUGCUUUGGGGAUACACGAUUGCAAAUUAACAAGUCUAUUCAUAACAUAUCAAGGUCAUCUUCUCCUGAAAUUAAUAUGAUAUCCCAUUUAUAUAAGUCAGAUUCUCCCAAGUAGAUCGUGCUAAGCUAUAAGUCAAAUCAUCCUUACGUUGUUGUUCUAGCAUGCUCCGAUUGUGUUCCUCCCAUCUAUCCACAUGGAAUUCUUGAAAGAGGAUUAUGCCUAAAGAACUCCAUCACUUAGAGGCUUCUCGGUCCGAUUAAACAUUUCAUGCUGCCUAAAAAUUGAAGGUCUUACAGUUUCGUUGGUGGAUUACCAGUACCUUGGUUGGUGCCACCCCGGGUCGAGUUAGAGCUUCCACUUCUGGUGAAUGAUCCUCUAUCGACUAUCUUUGAGAUAGUUGUUUUGAGAUUUCAAUGCCGUUGAAGCCACUUAUCUCAUGGGUGGACUCGACCUAUGAGGAGAUUGAUCCCUCUAUGGUUGAUGAGAGGAGGAACUUACUUCGAGGAGAGAUACUGCGUCAAAGGGAACUUUUGCGGUGUGUGGAGGUCACCUUUGUUACUGUAGAUGUUAGUGGAUGAUCAUAAUAAUUUUUUGUUGUUGUUGUAUAGGGUCUUAGUGUCUUUCAUUUGGUGAUUGUACUUAUUUUGUUUUGGAUGACUGUAUCUAUGACAUACCUUGACAGUUGACUUUUGUUUGGUGGGUUCAUGUUCUAUUUUUUUUACGUGACCAUGGGAGGAAUAGUAUUGUUGAGGCAACACUUAUGUGUAUGUGUCUGCAGAGUAUACCCAAGGGUAUGAGCGAUGUUUGAUAGGUCUCAUAGCUCUGGUGUAUUUUCUAGUUGUAUGCUUUGGAUUAUUGUUAAAAAAAAAUCUUAGCUUGUUUGUAUAUAUGAUGUAAUUAUUUAUAACUCUUGUCGUUUUAUGUUACGACAUAUUAUUUUAUUAAAUUGUUUUUUAAAAAAAUACACUCACGCCGUUAAAAAUCGGGGUGUUACAGUAUGUCAACUUUGUCUUGUACUAGUAUCCAUAUUCCAACAAGACAAACACUACAACAAAAACACAGUAAAAGGAUACCACAAACAAGCAUAACAAAAAACUUACAAUUACACUAGAAACCAACCACAACUAACAUACAAAGCCAUUAGAGGACAUUAAAUCAAAACGAACCUAGAAGAUGUACCUGACCAAUUUUCCUACUAGCUAAUGGAAAACUAAUUUCUAUGAAAAAUAUGAAACAAGUACAAAGAAACACUAGACGAUCGAACUUCUAAUAACUAACAAAAUGCAUUCGCAACAAAGAGUCCGAAUAAUGUUGAACUAACAUCUAAACCCAGAGAAAACCACACUUGCAAAAAUCGACUAACAAGCAGCAGAAAAACCCUAAACAUAACCCUAAAGAAGAAAAAACGUUUAGUCUAACAGAACCAACACCUAAAUUUACCUAAAAUGAACUUUGCAGCAUUGAUAUCCAAAGAAGUAGAAGAGCCAAAGGAGAACAACACCAUUGAUACCUAUUCAACAAAAGGAACCAAUAAAAAACUUACUACAACAAAAAAUUGUGAAUCACAAUAGAGAUCUAAAAAGGAAAACACUCCCCGCACUCUGAAGAUACAUAAGCC